GACCACCGAUCUCAACGCGAUCGAGUUCUCUGCAUUAUCGUAAUCGAUGGACACCCGAAACUAUCUUGUUUACAUACUCAAGUAUACAGUUCGAGUUUUCUAUUGGACAUUGAAGAUUCUUAACUCGUACGUUUCGAUCCAGUACGUGGAUUAAAAGAGAAGAGAGUAGAAAGGAAAACGGUCGUCACACUUUCUGAUUACGAUACUUUCCUCGAUUUCGACCGCUGCAAAAUCAACAGAAAAUAAAAUUAAAAAAAAGACGAGUACUAAUAAUGUUGCAUGAUUUUCGACACUGAUUUCUUUCGUCGCACAAUAGCCGGAAUUUGUAAAGAGUUAUGACCGGACGGAACUACCUUCCGUUAUCGAGACAUAAACGUACCGAUAAUUAGUUCGCUUUGUCGACUCUUUUAUACAAUGCAGCCGAAGAAAACAAGCAACGGUGUUUAUUUUGCUGUUCAUUAUCUGUUCAAACGUCCAAGUAAUGUAGAAGCGACAACUGUAUGUACACGAGCUCUAAACGAUGUUCUCUUCAACAUUGUCAUUUCAAAUAUUUACUUUCUAGAUCCGAAAUAAAAUUCUAUAUAUUGUACGCAGGGCCGGCCCUGGGGCCCCUAUAAAAAUUGCACAAGAAGAGUGCAAUUUACUUAAUUAGUUAUACAAGAUUUAAUGUUAAUUUUAUAAAUUUUAUUUGAGGUACUUUCUUUUGUCAUUAUCACAUAUGGAAUCUGCGAGUUGGUGCCUAUCAGUCUGGCCCAAUUCUUAAUCAUGAACAUAUACUAAUAAUUGCUGUACUGGUGCGAAUUUUAAUAAAUAAUAAAUAAAUAAAUAAA